rnacentral:rRNA from 1 species
AUGAACGCUGGCGGCGUGCCUAAUCCCUGCAAGUCGAGCGAACAGAUGAGGAGCUUGCUCCUCUGACGUUAGCGGCGGACGGGUGAGUAACACGUGGAUAACCUACCUAUAAGACUGGGAUAACUUCGGGAAACCGGAGCUAAUACCGGAUAAUAUAUUGAACCGCAUGGUUCAAUAGUGAAAGACGGUUUUGCUGUCACUUAUAGAUGGAUCCGCGCCGCAUUAGCUAGUUGGUAAGGUAACGGCUUACCAAGGCAACGAUGCGUAGCCGACCUGAGAGGGUGAUCGGCCACACUGGAACUGAGACACGGUCCAGACUCCUACGGGAGGCAGCAGUAGGGAAUCUUCCGCAAUGGGCGAAAGCCUGACGGAGCAACGCCGCGUGAGUGAUGAAGGUCUUCGGAUCGUAAAACUCUGUUAUUAGGGAAGAACAAAUGUGUAAGUAACUAUGCACGUCUUGACGGUACCUAAUCAGAAAGCCACGGCUAACUACGUG